CGCGACCCCAGGUCAGGCGGGAUUACC
rnacentral:rRNA from 2 species